rnacentral:rRNA from 1 species
GACAUAGGUGGCGAACGUUAUCCGGAAUUACUGGGCGUAAAGAGUGCGUAGGUGGUUUAACUAGUUAUCGGUGGGAAAUCGGGGCCCAACCUCGUGGAAGUCGGUAAUACUGUUAAACUAGAGGGUCGGAGAGGUUAACGGAAUUCUAUGUGUAGCGGUAAAAUGCGUAGAUAUCUGGAGGAAUACCGGUGGCGAAGGCGGCAUCCUGGACCGACAUUGACGCUGAGGAGCGAAAGCUAGGGGAGCAAACGGG